rnacentral:lncRNA from 1 species
GGAGAAACCUAAUCCGAAUGCACUGAAAGAGUUCUAAUUAGACAUUUCAUGGGCCUCUGAGGCUCCCUGAGGAAAGUAAGAGAGAAGGUCAAAACACAUGUCCCUCUUGGAAUGGGGGCCUGAGUCCAUGCUGCAGGGAGCUGGCUGUGGAGAGUGAAGCCCUUUCAGAGGUCAGCACCCACUGACCUGAGCCACUGAUCAUUGCAUGAUGACGUGAACUCAACAUAAAAUGUGGGGAGUGGGAGUUUCUUCUGAGAACAGUUCCUGUGAUGUCUGGCAAUAGGAGCGUUGACUGGAACAUGUGGAUAUACCUUUUCCACCAUGAAACAUUUGAAAAACUCCAAAGUUUGGACUCAGCAUGGCUCUGGGCAGCGCCACUCAGUGCCAUCAAGGAACCAUGCACCUGAAGUUUGGAACCCAGCUGAGUAUGCAAUACAGAGGAGGAGAAGACUGCAGUGGGGUUUUGUAAGGUGCUCCCAGCACAGCGUGCAUCCGUUCCUUAACUCUGUAAAGCAAAUGUGGAAACCACUCACAGUUUUCUAGCUUCCUUACCCUUUAUUCAACUCCCCUAAGUGCUGAGGCCUAAUUGCUGACCCAUCUGGCCUCUGGCCUGAUUUCCAGUGGAUAUCUGGCCAGUGGUGGCUAGGUCCAGCAUUUCCUCCUUCACGAUAGCCAAAUCAUCCAGGGCAAUCUCUUGGCAGCAAAGGAGGCUAGAGAAGUUGCUUUUUCAGCAGGUCAAAUCAAAAGCAUACGGGGAGAGGAAGUUCAGGGCUAAGAGGCUUGCUGAUUCUCCAUGACUUAUUUUCCUCUGGGAGGCUGGAUCCCAUCCAGAACUGCACACCUCCCAGAAACUAUGCUUUCUGACUUUGUGUCUCUGUAAAUGACUCUUUCCUGAUUGAAUUGAUAACCAACUUACGAGUCUAAAAUCACAGUAUGAAAUAAACUGAAAAAAUCUACAGACAAU